UGGGGAAUUUUCCGCAAUGGGCGAAAGCCUGACGGAGCAAUACCGCGUGAGGGAUGACAGCCUGUGGGUUGUAAACCUCUUUUCUCAAGGAAGAAGUUCUGACGGUACUUGAGGAAUAAGCAUCGGCUAACUCUGUGCCAGCAGCCGCGGUAAUACAGAGGAUGCAAGCGUUAUCCGGAAUCACUGGGCAUAAAGCGUCUGUAGGUUGUUUAGUAAGUCUGCUGUUAAAGACUAGGGCUUAACCCUAGGCCAGCAGUGGAAACUGCUAGACUUGAGUGUGGUAGAGGUAGAGGGAAUUCCUAGUGUAGCGGUGAAAUGCGUAGAUAUUAGGAAGAACACCAAUGGCGAAAGCACUCUACUGGGCCACAACUGACACUGAGAGACGACAGCUAGGGGAGCAAACG
rnacentral:rRNA from 1 species